GAUGAACGCUGGCGGCGUGCCUAAUACAUGCAAGUCGAGCGAACAGAUGAGGAGCUUGCUCCUCUGACGUUAGCGGCGGACGGGUGAGUAACACGUGGAUAACCUACCUAUAAGACUGGGAUAACUUCGGGAAACCGGAGCUAAUACCGGAUAAUAUAUUGAACCGCAUGGUUCAAUAGUGAAAGACGGUUUUGCUGUCACUUAUAGAUGGAUCCGCGCCGCAUUAGCUAGUUGGUAAGGUAACGGCUUACCAAGGCAACGAUGCGUAGCCGACCUGAGAGGGUGAUCGGCCACACUGGAACUGAGACACGGUCCAGAAUCCUACGGGAGGCAGCAGUAGGGAAUCUUCCGCAAUGGGCGAAAGCCUGACGGAGCAACGCCGCGUGAGUGAUGAAGGGCUUCGGCUCGUAAAACUCUGUUAUUAGGGAAGAACAAAUGUGUAAGUAACUAUGCACGUCUUGACGGUACCGAAUCAGAAAGCCACGGCUAACUACGU
rnacentral:rRNA from 1 species